GAUGAAUGCUGGCGGCGUGGAUAAGGCAUGCAAGUCGUACGGUCCCGCAAAAGCGGGACAGUGGCGAACGGGUUAGUAACACGUGGAUAUCUACCCUCAAGUCUAGCAUAAUCCCGCGAAAGUGGGACUAAUACUAGAGGUCUCGCAAGAGUAAAGCUCCGGCGCUUGAGGAAGAGUCCGCGGCCUAUCAGCUUGUUGGUGAGGUAAUGGCUCACCAAGGCGAUGACGGGUAGGGGGCAUGAGAGUGUGUUCCCCAACAGGGAAACUGAGACACGGUUCCCACUCCUACGGGAGGCAGCAGUCGAGAAUCUUCGGCAAUGGGCGCAAGCCUGACCGAGCGACGCCGCGUGUUCGAUGAAGCCCUUCGGGGUGUAAAGAACUUUUAACCGGGAUGAACCUUCGGGUGACAGUACCGGUUGAAUAAGGGGCCGCUAAACUCGUGCCAGCAGCGGCGGUAAUACGAGUGCCCCGAGCAUUAUCCGGAUUUAUUGGGCGUAAAGAGCCUUAAGGCGGUUAAGAAAGUCUUUGGUCAAAUUCUUGGGGCUUAACCUCAAGAACGCUAGAGAUACUUCUUUACUAGAGGGCGUUAGAGGCCAGCGGAACGGCCGGUGUAGGGGUGAAAUCCGUUGAUAUCGGCCGGAACACCGAAAGCGAAGGCAGCUGGCUGGGGCGACCCUGACGCUGAUUGGCGAAAGCGUGGGGAGAGAAGCAGAUUAGAUACCUGCGUAUUCCACGCUGUAAACGAUGGACGCUGGCUGGUGGAAGUGUCGACCCUUUCACCGGCGAAGGUAACCCGUUAAGCGUCCCGCCUGGGAAGACGACGGCAACGUU
rnacentral:rRNA from 1 species